rnacentral:misc_RNA from 1 species
GAUGAAGAAAGCAGCGAAAUGCGAUAAGUAAUGUGAAUUGCAGAAUUCAGUGAAUCAUCGAAUCUUUGAACGCACAUUGCGCCCCUUGGUAUUCCGAGGGGCAUGCCUGUUCGAGCGUCAUUAUAACCCUCAAGCUCAGCUUGGUGUUGGGGCCUGCUGCACUGGCAGCCCUUAAAAUCAGUGGCGGCGCCAUCUGGCUCUAAGCGUAGUAAUUCUUCUCGCUAUGGAGUCCUGGUGGAUGCUUGCCAUCAACCCCCAAUUUUUCUAUGGUUGACCUCGGAUCAGGUAGGGAUACCCGCUGAACUUAAGCAUAUCAAUAAGCGGAGGA